rnacentral:rRNA from 1 species
GACGAACGCUGGCGGCGUGCUUAACACAUGCAAGUCGAACGGAAAGGCCCUGCUUUUGUGGGGUGCUCGAGUGGCGAACGGGUGAGUAACACGUGAGUAACCUUCCCUUGACUUUGGGAUAACUUCAGGAAACUGGUGCUAAUACCGGAUAGGAGCUCCUGCUGCAUGGUGGGGGUUGGAAAGUUUCGGCGGUUGGGGAUGGACGCGCGGCUUAUCAGCUUGUUGGGGGGGUAGUGGCUUACCAAGGGUUUGACGGGUGGCCGGCCUGGGAGGGUGACCGGCAACCUUGGGCCUGCGAUACGCAGCAGAGUGCUACGGGGGGCAGCGGUCGGAAAUCUUAAACAAUGGGGGGACGUGUGUUAAGGAAACCCCCGGAGCGGAAAGCAGGCUUUCGGGUGGUAAACGGCUUUAGCCUAAUACGAAGCUGGAGUGACGGUAAUGGGUAAAGAAGCACCGGCUAACUACGUG